rnacentral:ncRNA from 1 species
AACAGCAGUUGGACAUGGGUCAGUCGAUCCUAAGAGAUAGGGAAGCUCCGUUUCAAAGUGCGCGAUUUUUCGCGCCGCCUAUCGAAAGGGAAUCCGGUUAAAAUUCCGGAACCAGGAUGUGGAUCUUUAACGGCAACGUAACUGAACUUGGAGACGUUGGCAGGAGCCCCGGGAAGAGUUAUCUUUUCUCCUUAACAGUCUACCACCCUGAAAUCAGAU